rnacentral:rRNA from 1 species
GAGAGUUAAACAGUACGUGAAAUUGUUGAAAGGGAAACGAUUGAAGUCAGUCAUGCCGGCGUUGGAUUCAGCUUGCUUCGCGGAGCUUGCGCAUUUCCUCGCAUGGCAGGUCAGCGUCAGUUUUGCGCGGCGUGAAAAGGCUCGGGUAAGGUAGCUCUCUUCGGGGAGUGUUAUAGACCUGGGCAAAUGCGCAGCGCGGGACUGAGGAUUGCAGCGGACACCUCUUCGGAGGCGCGGCGACCGAACCCUGCUCGGCCACCCGAGUUCGAUAGCAUGCUAACGGACGCGGGAGCGGCAGUGCACCGGAACAGGCAAGCCAGCGGUUCGCUUAGGAUGCUGACGUAAUGGCUUUAAACGA